UGGGGAAUUUUGGACAAUGGGCGCAAGCCUGAUCCAGCAAUGCCGCGUGAGUGAAGAAGGCCCUCGGGUUGUAAAGCUCUUUUGUCAGGGAAGAAAAGGCGAUCUCUAAUACAGGUCACUCAUGACGGUACCUGAAGAAUAAGCACCGGCUAACUACGUGCCAGCAGCCGCGGUAAUACGUAGGGUGCAAGCGUUAAUCGGAAUUACUGGGCGUAAAGCGUGCGCAGGCGGUUAUAUAAGUCAGAUGUGAAAUCCCCGGGCUCAACCUGGGAACUGCAUUUGAGACUGUAUGGCUAGAGUGUGUCAGAGGGGGGUAGAAUUCCACGUGUAGCAGUGAAAUGCGUAGAUAUGUGGAGGAAUACCGAUGGCGAAGGCAGCCCCCUGGGAUAACACUGACGCUCAUGCACGAAAGCGUGGGGAGCAAACA
rnacentral:rRNA from 1 species